rnacentral:rRNA from 1 species
AUGGCGACCAGCAGCUCAGUAGUAGUACUGGCCGUCCUGGCCACCGUCGCCGCGCUGGUCUCCCCGGCCAUGUCCCUUCCCGUCUUCACCGGCGACGUCGGCGUCUCUCCGGGCUUCCACGCCGCGUCGUGUCCGCAGCUGGACGGCGUCGUGCGGUCGUCCGUGGUGGCGGCGCUGCGGCAGGAGGUGGCGCUGGCGGCGGGCCUGCUCCGGCUCUACUUCCACGACUGCUUCCCGCAGGGCUGCGACGCCUCCAUCCUCCUCAACACCACCUCCGCCCGCGCAGGGCCGGUCCUGGGGAGGGGCGAACGGGGCGGCCGCCCCGGGCCCCCAAAAGCCAGGGGGCCCCUCCCAGCAGGCCAGCAGCAGGAUCUCUCAUCUCUUCGACCGAACAACAGGGUCAUGUCGAGUACAGGUAGAAAGUAUUCAUCUGUAAGUCAUAAAAGAAAGAAAGAAGAAGGAGGCAGACUGAUGGCAAUCCGGAAGAUGAUGGUCAUACUCCUACAGAAGGCAAUGUUGACGUCAACAUGGAUGAUAGCAAUCGUGGCCGCGCUGGUGGAGUCCUUCGGCACCCGGGGCCUCGGCGACGUGGCCGACCUCGUGGCGCUCUCCGGCGCGCACACCAUCGGGCGGUCGCACUGCGGCAGCUUCGCCGACCGGUACCGGCGCGCGGACGACACCUUCUCGCGGAAGCUGGCGGCCAACUGCAGCAAGCACCCGGACCGGCUGCAGAAUCUGGACGUGGUCACCCCCGACCUGUUCGACAACGGCUACUACAAGGCGCUGCGGUUCAACCAGGGCGUGCUCACCUCCGACAUGGCGCUCGUCAAGAAUAAGACCACGGCGGCCAUCGUGAAGCGGUUCGCCCAGAGCAAGGACGCCUUCUUCCGGCAGUUCGCCAGGUCCAUGGAGAAGCUCGCCAGGGCGCCCAAGCCGGCGGGCAACGUGGGCGAGAUCCGGCGCUUCAGCUGCUUCAGGACCAAUGCCCAACGCGCCGACGCUGCCGUGGACGCUGCCGGUGAGGAGGAGGAGGGCUUCGCCGCCUCCGCCUGA